UGGAGCUGAGACUUCAGACAGCAGACGGACUUCUGAGGAGGAACAUCAGCACCACACGAGAGUGACUGUAGCUGAAGCAGAAAGAAGCUUUUUAAAACUGAAACUGAUGAAAUCAUACCUGAGAUCCACCAUGUCACAAGAGCACCUCAGCAGCCUCGCUGUCAGAAACAUCAACCAUACAAGUGCUGGUCAGAUUUGCAACGAUGAUGUAAUUGAUGACUUUGCAACAAACAAAGCAAGAAAGGUGGCAGCAGGAUGGGGGCAGGUCAUGACGUGGAAAGGAGACUCUCUGCUUGCAGGUUUCGAGUUAACUCGAGUUAAUCACUAGUGUUGACUAUAUUCAUUCCCUCCCACUUUAUCACAUCUCUGUAUCUUAACUCUAUCUGCUAUUAUAAGCACUAUGCCGGCUGUGUGUCUGCCUUUGAGCACAGGUAAGAACUCGUUCGAUGCCCAGCUGUGAGAGCGGAAAGCGGCGCUGGAAACAUCCUGGGCGGACGCUCACUCUUCCCAGGUAAAUUCCCGGGUUGAACCUAACGCUCCCAGCACCUCAACUCCGCGUGUCUCUCUGCCCAGGUCCAGCGCACCUACAACACGGCCCGCCCAGGUAUUGUUCACUCCGGCACCGGUGCACCACGGACCCUGGAUGCUGCAGCAGCGGAAGACACGAGCCAAGCCCUGGUCGAGGACGUCUCCCCCGCCACCACCACCGGCCUUCGAGAUCUCGACCGAGAACCGCUUCGCCCCUCUCCGCGAGCCAAAACGUCAUACUGUGAUUCUUGGAGAUUCCAUCGUCCGGCAUGUCCACGCUACCGGAGACAAAGGAAUAAUAAAUGGGCCGAUUCGAGAUCUGAUACGGAUGCCAGGUGAAGAGGAGGUGGAGAAACAAACAGCAAUGAUCAAUAGACCGGAAAGCUUACCGAACAAAAGUCCAGCAGGGGGCGCUCGCCUCUAACCCG